rnacentral:rRNA from 1 species
GACGAGCGCGGGCGGCGUGCUUAACACAUGCGAGUCGAGCGAGGAGGCCGAGCUUGCUAGGUGGAUUAGUGGCGAACGGGUGAGUAAUACGUGAGUAACCUACCUUUAACUCUGGGAUAAGCCUGGGAAACUGGGUCUAAUACCGGAUACGACCAAUCUCCGCAUGGGGUGUUGGUGGAAAGCGUUAUGUAGUGGUUAUAGAUGGGCUCACGGCCUAUCAGCUUGUUGGUGAGGUAACGGCUCACCAAGGCGACGACGGGUAGCCGGCCUGAGAGGGUGACCGGCCACACUGGGACUGAGACACGGCCCAGACUCCUACGGGAGGCAGCAGUGGGGAAUAUUGCACAAUGGGCGCAAGCCUGAUGCAGCGACGCCGCGUGAGGGAUGACGGCCUUCGGGUUGUAAACCUCUGUUAGCAGGGAAGAAGAGAAAUUGACGGUACCUGCAGAGAAAGCGCCGGCUAACUACGUGCCAGCAGCCGCGGUAAUACGUAGGGCGCGAGCGUUGUCCGGAAUUAUUGGGCGUAAAGAGCUUGUAGGCGGUUUGUCGCGUCUGCUGUGAAGGCCGGGGCUUAACCCCGUGUAUUGCAGUGGGUACGGGCAGACUAGAGUGCAGUAGGGGAGACUGGAACUCCUGGUGUAGCGGUGGAAUGCGCAGAUAUCAGGAAGAACACCGAUGGCGAAGGCAGGUCUCUGGGCUGUAACUGACGCUGAGAAGCGAAAGCAUGGGGAGCGAACAGGAUUAGAUACCCGGGUAGUCCAUGCCGUAAACGUUGGGCACUAGGUGUGGGGGACAUUCCACGUUUUCCGCGCCGUAGCUAACGCAUUAAGUGCCCCGCCUGGGGAGUACGGCCGCAAGGCUAAAACUCAAAGAAAUUGACGGGGGCCCGCACAAGCGGCGGAGCAUGCGGAUUAAUUCGAUGCAACGCGAAGAACCUUACCAAGGCUUGACAUAUACUGGACCGCAUCAGAGAUGGUGUUUCCCUUCGGGGCUGGUAUACAGGUGGUGCAUGGUUGUCGUCAGCUCGUGUCGUGAGAUGUUGGGUUAAGUCCCGCAACGAGCGCAACCCUCGUUCUAUGUUGCCAGCACGUUAUGGUGGGGACUCAUAGGAGACUGCCGGGGUCAACUCGGAGGAAGGUGGGGAUGACGUCAAAUCACCAUGCCCCUUAUGUCUUGGGCUUCACGCAUGCUACAAUGGCCGGUACAGAGGGUUGCGAUACUGUGAGGUGGAGCUAAUCCCUAAAAGCCGGUCUCAGUUCGGAUUGGGGUCUGCAACUCGACCCCAUGAAGUCGGAGUCGCUAGUAAUCGCAGAUCAGCAACGCUGCGGUGAAUACGUUCCCGGGCCU